CCCUACCUCUGAGAUCUUCUGAGCCAUCCUGAAGUUACUUUGACCCCUUCUGAAGUCACUUGACCCAUCUCCAGAGCCAUUCAUGCCAUCCCAAGAUGGCUUAGCCCCACUCUGGGCCAUUUCAACCACCCCAGGGCUGCUUUGACUCAUCCCUGGGACUACUUUGAUCCAUCCUGGGGCCAUUUGACUCCUCUCUUGUGCCAUUUGAGCCCCUUUGGCGUGGCUGAGCCCAUCCUUGUGGCAAUUUAUGCCAUCCCAGAGCUGCUUUGACCCAUCCCUGGGACUACUUUGACCCCUCCUGAAGUCACUUGACCCAUCUCCAGAGCUAUUUAUGCCAUCUGAAGAUGGCUUAGCCCCACUCUGGGCCAUUUCAGCCACCCCAGGGCUGCUUUGACUCAUCCCUGGGACUACUUUGAGCCAUCCUGGGGCCAUUUGACUCCUCUCUUGUGCCAUUUGAGCCCCUUUGGCAUGGCUGAGCCCAUCCUUGUGGCAAUUUACGCCAUCCCAGAGCUGCUUUGACCCAUCCCUGGGACACUUUGAGCCACUUAGCCUGUCCCUAGGGGAUUUAACUCAUCCUCGGGGCCACCCUGAUCCAUUUUAGGGCUCUCUAAAGGGCCACUUAGGGCCACUUAGCACGUCCCCAAGGCCACUGCAUCCAUCCAGGGGCAGCAGAACUGAGCCCUUCAACCCAACCCAGUGCCACUUAACCCCCACAUCCUCCCCCCGUCCCUCGGUGACCCUUCUGCCUUGAGUACAUCCCAUAAUGAUGCUCAUUCCUCCCCCAAUUUUUGUCCCCAGCGCCUCCGCACCGAGAACCGCCUGCUGAAACAACGCAUCGAAACCCUGGAGAAGGAGAGCGCGGCUCUCGCCGACAGGCUCAUCCAGGUAGUGUCCAAAAUCGCUGUUUUUUCCUCUUUUUCUUCACCCCCCCCCAAAAAAAAAACCUGUGUUUUAACCCUUUUUCUGCUUUCCAGCCUACGUCUUGCUUCUCUGGGGGGGAGAAUUUGCCCUUUCCCCCCCCCCCCCC
rnacentral:lncRNA from 1 species